CUUAAUUCUAUUCAAUGAUAACCAAGCUGUUCAUUAGACUCCGUGUAAUAUGACUAUCAUAUGCUAAUAAACAGGUACAGUUUUAGCUCACCUGACCUGAAAGGUCAAGUACUUAAGCUUUUCUCACCUCUUGGCGUGCGGCGUCCGUCGUCGUCUGUUCACUUUAACGAAAAUCUUCUUCUCUGAAUCUGAAUGGCCCAAUUUCAACCAAACUUGGCCACAAUUAUCACUAGGGUAUCAAGUUUAAAACAUGUGUCCGAAUGAUGACCACGCCUACCAAACAACAUGGCCGACAUGGCUAAACAUAGAACAUAGGGAUAAAAUGCAGUUUUGGCUUAUAUCUAUGAAACUAAAGCAUUUAGAGCAAAUCUGACAGGUGUCAAAAAUGUUUAUUGGAUUUAGAUUUAUCUGCCCUGACAUUUUCAGACGAAUCCGACAACCCCUUAUUAGGUUGCUGCCCCUGAGUUUGUAAUUUUACGGACAUUUUGUAGUUUUUGUUAUCAUUAUAAUAUCUAAUAUUUGAUACUAUUAAUUAUGAUUUUAACCUUAUUUUACAUGAUUCUCUAAGCAUCAGUAAAUGCAGGUGAGCGACACAGGGUCUUUAGAGCCUCUAGUUGAAUUAUGUAGUCAUGAGAUGACAGUAUUUAUUGUCUAUGUAUGUUAUAAACUACUAGAUAUAAACACAACUGGUGAUAGUUUUCAAAAGGAAAAUGCCUGUAUAAGUACAUGUACUUCCGUAACAUUAUGUUAAUAAGGAG
rnacentral:lncRNA from 1 species